GGACAAAACCGGAGAGAACGAGAACGGGAGAGAUGUGAGCGCGUAGUAACGAUAAAUUAGCGUAGUCCGGGACUGGGGGGGAGAGCGGGGGAGCUUCCACCGCCCCUCGGGCCUGGUCUUCCCUCUUGGGCCGGGUUUCGCUCGCCGGCCUGGGUCCUUUCCCUCAGGUUCCCCUCCACAGGCCUUGCUUUUUGACAGAAGUGGUGAUACAGUGCGCUAGUCCUCCUGGUUCAAGGGAGGUCUAUUUCGUGAGAAAUUGAAGAUGUGUGGUGUAUGAACUGCAGUUUUGUAUUAAGAGGUUAAUGACAUCGAAUUUCAGAUGCUGAUUUGACUUGGACCAAAGCCUUGAUGAAGUCCCCAGAAACUUUUGAUGCAUUUCCAGAGAACUUCAGCACUAAUUAACUUUUAGACCUUAACCAAUGUAGUCUCUAGCAAGAAUGUUGGACUGGAAGCUGAAUUAUGAACCAGUUGGCGCCAUCUUCUCCGGAUGAGUUCAAAUUUGCAUAAGACAAGUCUGUGAAAGAUAAGGAAAAAAUUUCAUCAGAGAGUUUAUUCUUGCCUAACUGACACUUAAGACUGCCUCAGAAUUAGUUUUUUUAAAGUCUAAGAACUCCCAGCCUUUUUUGUCUGGUAAUGCUUUCCUUGUAAAAGAAAUAUUUAUAUGCUGAUUUCAGUGAAGAAAUGGGGGCAUCAGCCAUUCUGCUUCUCCAUCCAUGUAAAGUAUGAAGGAGCAUCUCUAAGAAAUUUGUGUCCCUUUCUUCUGUGAAAAGCAUACUGAGUUUUUUAGAACUGUAAUGAAAAAGUUUUCUUCAGAAAUGUAGAAAGACUACUUCACAUCUUCUGGUGCAUCUUUCUGAUGAAGAAGUGAAUUUGGCUGCUGUUUGUUUAAUGGAGCGCUGAAGAAUGAAAAUGCAUCAUCUACAAUAUUUUGGGCAAGUAAUUAAUAGAACUUGCUGUCCCUUUGAUAAAUAGAAACAUGAAGCUUUGCAACUUAUGAGCACAAUUGGCUCUACAUGACUAAUAAUAACAAAUAAAUCUGACAUAAUCUCACAGAUACAAUACAUAAUAUAUUUUAGAUAUAUAUUUGGCACGUACGUUAAAAAGGUAAUCAGAUACAAAAUAUGCAUUUAGUUUAGCAAGUAAAAAGAGGAAUAAAACUGUUUAUCUAUCCAGGAAACACAUGGAAAUAAAGUAGGAAUGUGUUUCAAUUGGAAACAUAUUUCUAUAUGAAAUACGUUAUAAUACAUAACUAUUUCCAUUAUCUAAAUUAUCAGUGCUAUAAUUUUUACAAACAACUAGAAAUAGUUCUGUAAUUGUCAGACUUUGCAAAAGUGCAGUGUAAAUGAACAAUGUAAAUGAUAACUGAGGGCUUUUCCUGAGACGGAAGUAGAAGAUAUCAUUGCAUACUUGAGUAAAUUUCA